GACAUUCCCUGGAAUCUGACUGGAAACAGUGGAGUGCCUGCAACCGCAGGAGCCAGGAGACAGGUGCUGCAUGGCUGUCGUCAGCUCGUGUCGUGAGAUGUUGGGUUAAGUCCCCGCAACGAGCGCAACCCUCGCCUUUAGUUGCCAGCAUUCAGUUGGGCACUCUAAAGGGACUGCCGGUGUCAAAACCGGAGGGAAGCGGGGAUGACGUCAAGUCCUCAUGGCCUUUAUGUCCAGGGCUACACACGUACUACAAUGGCCGGUACAAAGGGCGGCGAGUCAGCGAUGACGAGCAAAUCCCGUAAAGCCGGUCUCAGUCCGGAUUGGAGUCUGCAACUCGGCUCCAUGAAGUUGGAAUCGCUAGUAAUCGUGGAUCAGAAUGCCACGGUGAAUACGUUCCCGGGCCUU
rnacentral:rRNA from 1 species